rnacentral:rRNA from 1 species
GAUGAACGCUAGCUACAGGCUUAACACAUGCAAGUCGAGGGGAAACGAUAUUGGAAGCUUGCUUCCGAUAGGCGUCGACCGGCGCACGGGUGAGUAACGCGUAUCCAACCUGCCCAUCACUUGGGGAUAACCUUGCGAAAGUAAGACUAAUACCCAAUGACGUCUCUAGAAGACAUCUGAAAGAGAUUAAAGAUUUAUCGGUGAUGGAUGGGGAUGCGUCUGAUUAGCUUGUUGGCGGGGUAACGGCCCACCAAGGCGACGAUCAGUAGGGGUUCUGAGAGGAAGGUCCCCCACAUUGGAACUGAGACACGGUCCAAACUCCUACGGGAGGCAGCAGUGAGGAAUAUUGGUCAAUGGACGAGAGUCUGAACCAGCCAAGUAGCGUGCAGGGAAGACGGGCCCCUAAUGGGUUGUAAAACUGCUUUUAUAAGGGAAUAAAGUGAGUCUCGUGAGACUUUUUGCAUGUACCUAUGAAUAAGGACCGGCUAAUUCCGUGCCAGCAGCCGCGG